rnacentral:rRNA from 1 species
UACGUAGGGCGCAAGCGUUAUCCGGAAUUAUUGGGCGUAAAGAGCUCGUAGGCGGUUUGUCGCGUCUGCUGUGAAAGACCGGGGCUCAACUCCGGUUCUGCAGUGGGUACGGGCAGACUAGAGUGCAGUAGGGGAGACUGGAAUCCUGGUGUAGCGGUGAAAUGCGCAGAUAUCAGGCGGACACCGAUGGCGAAGGCAGGUC